rnacentral:lncRNA from 1 species
CAAAAUCCAAAAUGGCAACCAAGUGUGUAAGUGCAACAAACUUAGUCUCAACUUUAAAAUUAGUGCGAGUUGGGAAAUGUAUUAACUCAAGCAUGAUGUACAAACUUGAAACGACUUAAAUAUUUAUUCACCAUCACAUAAAAACAGUAAUUAAAUAUAGAUAACAUGUGUAAAUAAAGGGAGAACCACCUUUCUAGCAGUAGCUUUAGAGUAAGACCAAACACCAUCCUCCUACUUGUAAAUCUGCUCGAUUGUCUACUUUGUUCUACACUCGUCAUUUCACCGUCUCAGGCCAUCCAUUGAAUUGGCCACCCAGCCUUGGCAUACAAGAGUAUGUCUCAACCUGUUAACAAAUACCACUAAAACUAAGCAAGACAAGAAAAAAGUUUUCAAAAAAUUACCUAACUUUUAGGUCUUCAUGUGACCUUUAAGUUUUUUUGUCUUCUCCUUCAACUCUUUGACAGAUUGCUGAAAUUAUGUGUUUCUGCAAUGUGUACCAGAACAUGAAAGAUUCAUUACGAAAAUAAAUAUCAUGAAUACAAACCAUGAAGAAAUACAAAAAGCCUCUUCAUUAAGCUGAAAAUGAGUAGACAACAAAAAAGAUAAUACAAAGAAGCCCUAGGAUCAGCUAGUGCACGUGGACAUCUCAUCUAGGUUGACACCCACUUAGCAUUCUCACCAUAUCGAGACUUAAACCAAAAGACUAAACCAACGACAAGAUUUAGAAUAGAUCAUACAAACUGCCCAAUAACUAUACAACAUAGAUUUAAGACCACUAGAAAUCCAAAAGAAAUAAAAUAAGAGUGCAGUAGUGGACUAAGAAUUAAAAAUGAAAGUCGGCCAAUUAUGACUUAUAUCUUGUAUGGAGAAAUCUUUGAAGUUUUUUGAAAGAGAGCAUCAAGUAGAAGCAUUGAUUCUAGCCAUUUCGACUCGAGUUGUCCAAGAGGAAGCUUUAUUUUGAAAUGUUAGUUGAUUAUGUUAAAACCAAAUUUCUGGUAAAAUGGCCUUUACUGCAUUUAACCAAAUCAAUCUUGGUUUCUUCUUGAGAAUGGGACAUGAAAUAAGCUGGACCACGUUCUCCUAAAUCUAUAGUCGAAAACCCAAUUCAAAUGAAGAUAGCCAAGUAAGCCAAACCAACACUUCUUUGCAUGUAAGCAGGAGAAGAAAAUAUGAUGUAAAUCUUCUAAAGCAUGCAAACACAAGGGACAAACAUGAGGAGAUAAACUGAGAAAGGGAGGUUUCAUUUGCAAAACUUCUGCACAGUUCAUAGUCCAUUUCGCAUUCUCCAAAGCGUGAUAUUCACUCUGUUGGUGAUAUAUAAUUAAAUUUGCCUUCAACCACAAGCUUAAGCUUUUGGAUGAAUUGGUGGUUUAAUAUGGUAUCAGAGCAGGUGCUCCAGGGAGGUCAUGUGUUCAAGCCCCUGCAUUGUCGUUUCCUCCCCAAUUAAAAUCAAUUUCCACUUGUUGGGCCUUUCAAAUAUUUCAAACCCAAAAGUGAGGUAAAAUUUAUUCCACUUGUUGGGCCUUUCAGAUAUUUCAAGCCCACAAGUGAGGGGGAGUGUUGGUGAUAUAUAAUUAAAUUUGCCUUCAACCACAAGCUUAAGCUUUUGGAUGAAUUGGUGGUUUAAUACACUCUUCUAGGGCUUUUUGUCUUCCAAAUUGUCGAGUACUUUGUUUUCAAGACUGUGUUAGAACCUGUUUUCUGUAAAUGUUUGGCUGAUUAAUAAAUUAGUAGAACACACUAUUUGGUGUUCUAUCAUUUUGGUAUCGGAGAAAUCGAAUCUGUGAAGUUCUAUUAUCAUGGCUCAAAAGCGAAUUGAGGAAAAGUUGGAAAUGGUAGAUCAAGAAAUAUCCGGCAUUCGAGCAGAAUUACAUGAUCUGCCAACAAUCAAGGAAAACAUGUCAUCUUUGGCGAAGAGUAUUGAGAGGUUAGGAGUACAGGCUGAGAAGCAACAACAGCAACCAGAAACACUGUUGAAAUAUAUUGAAGGAAUGAUCAAAGGGAAGACAACGAUGGAAGAAGUACUAGAAGGAUCAUCAAGUGAAGUUGACAGCAUGGUUGAUGUCAGUUAUUGGACGAUGAUGGGAGGAAAAUCUGAGGAAAAACAUACCAAGUUGGAGGGUGAAGAUUCUGCGGGUGACCGAAGCAAAUUUAAAAAUAUUGAAAUGCUAGUUUUUGUGGGAAAUGAUCCUGAUUCUUGGUUGUUUAGGGCUGAGAGAUACUUUCAGAUACACAAACUGAGUGAGUCAGAGAAAAUGACUGUGUCCAUUAUUAGUUUUGAUGGAGCAGCUUUGGAUUGGUAUAAAUCUCAUGAAGAUCGUGAACCGUUUGUUAAUUGGGACGAUUUAAAGAAGAGACUUAUUGUUUGAUUUCGAUCGAGUCGUGAGGGAUCAAUUCUGGGAAGAUUUUUAAAGAUCAAGCAAGAAAUUACAGUGGAAGAAUAUUGGAAUUUAUUUGAUAAAUCAGUAGCACCAUUGCCUUUUCUACAAAAGGCUGUCUUAGAAGAAACAUUUAUGAAUGGUUUGAAACCAUGGAUUAAGGCAGACAUGGAAUGUUGGGAACCUAUGGGCUUUGCUCAAAUGAUGAAGUUGGCCCAAAAGAUUGAGAACCGAGAAGUGAUAAGGGAGAAUCAAGUUUCAAACGUGCAGCGGAUGGAAAAUUCCAGGUUUCUGCUUCUUUUAAACCUCAAAUUCCUGUGAUUUCUAAUGAUAAUAAGUCAGGAGGGAUUGUUCCAAUGCGGAUGAUUACACUUCGAGGAGUGGCUGGUGAACCUAAUCGACGAGAAGGACCACUAAAACGACUUUCUGAUGCUGAAUUUCAGGCUAGACGUGAGAAAGGUCUCUGUUUUCGUUGUGAGGAAUGAUUUUUUGUGGGCCAUAAGUGUAAAGUGAAAGAUCAUAAGGAACUUAGAGUUUUAGUUGUUGGGGCAAAUGGGGAAGAACUAGAAGUAGUUGAAGAAGAGGAUUCAAAAGUGGAAACUGAAAUACAGGAGACUGAAGUUGUUAAACCAGAAGAACCCGUGAUCGAAUUAUCAAUAAAUUCGGUGGUGGGAUUAACAAACCCUGGAACUAUGAAAAUUAAAGGUAUGAUUAGAGAAAGGUCAGUAGUAGUAUCGAUAGAUUGCGGCGCGACCAAUAAUUUUAUAUCUGAAAAGUUAGUAACUCAAUUGUUGUUGCAGUUGCAGGAAACUUCUGAUUAUGGGGUUAUUUUGGGGUCUGAAUCUGCUGUAAAAGGGAAGGGAAUUUGUAAACAAGUGGAACUGCUAUUGGGUGAAUGGAAGGUUGUGGAUAAUUUUCUGCCAUUGGAAUUGGGGGGGAGUGGAUGUCAUUCUUGGUAUGCAAUGGCUACAUACAUUAGGAGUAACCGAAGUAGAUUGGUGAAAACUUACUUUGACAUUCAUACAAAAUGGGAAGAAGGUUGUAUUAAGGGGAGAUCCGAGUCAUACGAAGGCUAGGGUGAGUUUGAAGCACAUGAUGAAGACAUGGACAGAACUUGAUCAGGGAUUUCUGAUUGAGUGUAGAUCUUUGGAAGGUGGAAUGGCAUUUGCAGCGAUGUAUGGGGUUGAUGAAGUGCCUACCACUCAUGAGUCUAUUCCAGCCGUGUUAGCUAAGAAUGAAGAUGUUUUUGAUUGGCCUGGAGAGUUGCCACCACAAUGUACCAUUGAACAUCAUAUACAUCUUAAGAAGGGGACUAAUCCAGUCAAUGUUCGGCCUUAUAGAUAUGCAUACCAGCAAAAGGAGGAGAUGGAAAGAUUGGUUGAUGAAAUGAUGGCAUUUGGCAUAAAAACCUAGUACUAGUCCAUAUUCGAGCCCGGUCUUGUUGGUGAAAAAAAAUGGUAGUUGACGGUUUUGUGUAGAUUACCGUGCGUUGAAUAGUGUGACCGUUCCAGACAAGUUUCCUAUUCCAGUAGUAGAGGAAUUGUUUGAUGAACUUAAUGGGGCUAAUAUAUUUUCGAAGAUUGAUCUCAAGGCGGGAUAUCAUCAAAUUAGAAUGUGUAAAAAGGAUGUGAAGAAAACAGCUUUUAGAACUCACGAGGGGCAUUAUGAGUUUCUUGUCAUGCCUUUUGGGCUCACCAAUGCACCAUCAACGUUUCAAGCUUUGAUGAAUAGUAUCUUUAAACCUUACCUACGCAGGUUUUCUUAGUCUUUUUUGAUGAUAUAUUAAUUUACAGCAGAAGUUUGGAUGAAAAUCUUCAACAUUUAGAAUGGGUGUUAGAGGUGCUGCGAGAGAAUAAAUUAUAUGCUAAUAUGCAGCACAAGUGUGGGUUUGCCAAAAUGAAAGUGGAGUAUCUUGGCCAUAUAAUUUCGGGCAAGGGUGUAGAGGUUGAUCCCGAGAAAAUUAGAUCUAUCAAAGAAUGGCCCGUGCCCACUAAUGUCCGUGAAGUUCGUGGAUUUCUUGGGUUGACAGGAUAUUAUCGAAGAUUUGUAAUGAAUUAUGGAAGUGUGGCUGCUCCUUUGACUCAAUUAUUGAAGAAAGGAGCAUAUGAAUGGACUGUUGCAGCUGCUGAAGCUUUUGAGAAUUUAAAGAUGGCUACGAUGACUCUCCCAAUCUUAGCACUGCCAGAUUUUUCCUUACCAUUUGAAAUAGAGACCGAUGCUUCUGGAUACGGGGUAGGUGCUGUCUUAAUUCAAAAUCAUCGGCCAAUUGCUUAUUUUAGCCAGACAUUAGCUAUGAGGGAUCGUGCUAAACCAGUUUAUGAACGGGAAUUAAUGGCUGUAGUUUUGGCUGUGCAACGCUGUAGACCUUAUCUUUUGGGCAGGAGGUUUGUAGUGAAAACUGAUCAACGAUCAUUGAAACUUUUAUUGGAACAAAGGGUUAUCCAACCUCAACAUCAGAGGUGGAUUGCUAAGCUUCUUGGCUACAAUUUUGAUGUCGUGUAUAAACCGGGACUAGAAAACAAAGCAGCAGAUGCCUUGUCUCGUGUCCCUCCUACUGCCCAACUUAAUCAACUUACUGUUGAGAUCAGUUAAAUUGGCAGUCCCCAACACUGAAGUUGACCCUAAAUUAGUCCCAGAAAUUAAUGGGAUGGAUCUGAAUGUCUUGUUCAAUGAUGAAGAUAUUCUCCCUAUUAAAAUUCCCCUGGAUUUGCCUAAAGAUUUAGUGUCUAUAGUCGGUGAUUGUGGAAUCAUUCUGGCUUAAAUUAGAUGUGCAACUGCCUUUUCCUCCUCCCAGUCAUUAUUAAGGUUGUCUCCUGGAACACUAAGGGUUUGAACGACUCCUCUAAACGUGCAGCACUUAAAAAAUUCAUCAACAAUUGUAGUCAUGAUUCAAGAAUCUAAGAAGGAUACCUUGAACUCGGCUUUUAUAAAAUCAUUGUGGAGUUCUAAGGAUAUUGGCUGGGAUUAUGUGGCUUCUGUUGGAUCUUCUGGGGGAAUUCUUACCAUGUGGGACAGCAGUAAAAUAUCUGUAACAGAGGUCAUUAAAAGACGCUUCUCUUUGUCAAUCAAAUGCCUCACUUUGUGCAAAAAGGUUUGUUGGAUCACAAAUGUCUAUGGCCCUUGUGGUUGCAGAGAAAGGAAAUUGGUUUGGCCCGAAUUGUCUUCCUUGGCUGAUUGUUCGGCCGUGGCCUGGUGCAUAGGUGAGGAUCUUAAUAUCACUCGUUGGGCCCGGGAAAGAUUUCCUUUUGGCAGAAGUACUAGAGGAAUGUCAUUAUUCAAUAAGUUUAUUAACAUGGUUUCUCUCAUGGAAAUUCCAUUGCAAAAUGGAAGGUUCACUUGGUCUAGAGACGGUAAUUCUCCUUGAAGAUCAUUAUUAGACAGAUUCUUCAUAAAUCAGAUGUGGGAUGUUUGUUUUGAAAAUUCUCGGGUUUCUCGAAAAGCACGCAUCUUCUCGGAUCACUUUCCUUUAUUCUUGGAGGCUGGUUCUUUUCUUUGGGGUCCCUCUCCUUUUCGGUUUUGUAACAGCUGGUUGGUGUCCAGUGAUUCUAAUCAGAUUAUUGUUGAAACAGUGAGCAACUCUAACUUCCAGGGAUGGGCUGGUUUCAUUCUUCAUGAGCAGUUGAGAUCAGUUAAAUUGGCAGUAAAAGCUUGGAAUAUUGCUGCGCAAGCUAAGGUAAAAAAAAAAAACAGAGAAAUCCUUGAUGUCAAAAUUAGAAAAAUAUGAUUCUGUGGCUGAGUUGAUUGGAUUAAAUCAAGAAGAGUUGAAUUCUAGAGCUGCUUUGCAAGCGGAAUUACUUAGUAUUUAUCAAAAUGAAGAGCGUAAUUUUAUUCAGAAGAGUAAACUCAAUUGGCUUUCUUUGGGUGAUGAGAAUACGGGCUUCUUCCACCGCUUUCUAAAUGCGAAUAAAAGAAGGAACCUCAUAACUGAAUUAAAAGAUGAUGAUGAGGUUGUCUCGACUUCAUUCCGCGACAUUGAAAGGCUUGUGCUGGAAUUUUUUGAGUCAAUUUAUACCAGAAUUCCGGGGGACAGAUUCAUCCCUAUUAACAGUAAUUGGUCUUGUGUUUCCUCAAUUCAUAAUGAGGCUCUUGUUACCCAAUUUUCAGUGGAGGAGAUCUUUAAGGCAUUAAAGGCACUUGGCAACAAUAAAGCUCCGGGCCCGGAUGGCUUCACAGUGAAGUUCCUAAUCACCCAAUGGUCUAUUUUCAAGGAUAUCUUCAAAUCACUAAUGUCUGAUUUCCACAGAAAUGGAAGAUUAAAUGCUUGCAUCCAAGAAAACUUCAUUUGUUUAGUGCAGAAAAAAGAGAAUGUGACUCUAGUCAAGGAUUUCCGUCCAAUCAGCCUUACUACGUUAGCAUACAAGGUCGUUGCAAAGGUUUUAUCUGAACGUCUAAAACAAGUUAUGGAUGCAAUUAUAAGCCCCACUCAAAGCGCCUUUAUUGAAGGUAGGCAAAUUCUUGACCCAAUAUUAAUUGCUAACGAGGCCGUGGAAGAUUAUAGGGCAAAACGAAAAAGAAAAAAGAUGGAUUUUAAAACUUGACUUGGAAAAAGCCUUUGAUAGGGUGAAUUGGAACUUUUUAGAAAAAAAUUUAUCUUUGAAAAAGUUUAGUUCCAAAUGGAUAUCAUGGAUAAUGGGCUGCCUAAAAAAUCCAAAGUAUUCAGUCUUCAUCAAUGGUAAGCCUAGAGGCUGGAUAACAGCAUCUAGAGGUAUCCGCCAAGGGGACCCCCUCUCCCCCUUUUUAUUUCUCCUAGUAAGUGAGGUUUUAGGAGAAAUCAUAAACAAGCUUCAUAUUAACAGCCAGUUUGAAGGUUUCCUUGUUGGCAAAGACUUGAUCCACCUCCCUUUGCUUCAAUUUGUCGAUGAUACUCUUCUCUUUUGUAAGUAUGAUGUGAAGAUGCUCCUUAAACUUUAAAACGUCAUUAGAUUAUUCGAAUAGUGUUCGGGGCAGAAAGUAAACUGGGAAAAAUCAGCCCUUAGCGGCGUUAAUGUGGGAGAGGAAGAUUUGUUUCAAACAGCAAAUCUGAUAGGGUGCAAGGUAGAAAAGCUUUCGAUUAUAAGGUAUAUUAUACAUGCAAUCAAACAAUCACAACAUACAUACCAUUUACUCAAAACGACCUAAAACAUGCUCAAAACGACCUAAAACGUGCUCAAAACAUGUCUAACUUUCACUGCAACUUUCAAAACGACCUAAAACAGCUUACGUGCAGGUUCGUAACUCAUAACCUACGAAAAAAGUUCAAAUAUUGUGAAAAAAGCACUACAAGACCCAAAAUGGCAACCAAGUGUGUAAGUGCAACAAACUUAGUUCAAACCACCCUAAAACGUGCUCAAAACGUGUCUAGGUAUUACUUGAGUUUUUCAAAACGACCUAGCAAAUCCUAAGGGUAAGUUCGUAACUCAUAAUCUACCAAAAAGGUUGAAAAAAGCAUUUCAAGACCAAAAGUGACAACCAUGUGUGUAAGAGCAACAAACUCAAUCUAACCUAAAAUGUAUUCAAAACGUGUGUAAGUAUCACUUUAAUUUUCAAAACGACCAAGCAAUGCUUAAGUGUAAGUUUGUAACUCACAACCUACCAAAAUUUCAAAAAGUGUGAAAAAAGUACUUCAAGACCCAACAUGUCAAUCAAAUGUGUUUAAAACUUAGUGUCAAACCAACCUAAAACGAGUUUAAAACGUGUCUAAGUAUCACUUGAACUUUCAAAACGACCUAAAACAGCUUACGUGUAGUUUUGUAACUCAUAACCUACGAAAAAAGUAUAAAUAGAGUGAAAAAAGCACUACAAGACCCAAAAUAGCUACCAAGUGUGUAAGUGCAACAAACUUAGUUCAAACCAACCUAAAACAUGCUCAAAACGUGUCUAGGUAUUACUUGAGGUUUCAAAACGACCUAGCAAAUCCUAAGUGUAAGUUAGUAACUCAUAAUCUACCAAAAAGGUUGAAAAAAGCAUUUCAAGACCAAAAAUGACAACCAAGUGCAACAAGCUGAAUCUAACCUAAAAUGUAUUCAAAACGUGUGUAAGUAUCACUUGAAUUUUCAAAACGACCAAGCAAUGCUUCAGUGUAUGUUUGUAACUCACAACCUACCAAAAUUUCAAAAAGUAUGAAAAAAGUACUUCAAGACCCAACAUGUCAAUCAAAUGUGUGUAAAACUUAGUUUGAAACCAACAUAAAACGAGUUCAAAACGUGUCUAAGUUUCACUUGAACUUUCAAAACGACCUAACAAAUAUUCAAUACAAGUUCAUAAGUCAUAACCUAGCAAAAAGUUCAAAAUUUUUGAAAAUGACACUCCAAAACCCAAAAUGUCAAUUGUGUAAGUGCAACGAACUUAGUUCUAUACAAACCUAACAAUUAUUCAAAACACGUAUAAGUUUUCGAACAAACUAACAACGCUUAAGUGUAAGUUUAUAACUCAUAACUUACCAAAAAUUUCAAAAAGUGUGAAAAAAAAUCUUUCAAGACUCAAAAUGGCAACCAUGGCUGUAUGUAAAACUAACUUAGUUUGUAACAACCUAAAAGGUAUUCAAAAAAUGUUUUAAGUAUCACUCGAACUUUAAAAACGACCUAAUAAUGCUUUUAGUGUUACUUCAUUAACUCAUAACCUACCAAAAAGUUCAAAAAAUGUAGAAAAAGCACUCCAAAAUCCAAAAUGGCAACCAAGUGUGUAAGUGCAACAAACUUAGUCUCAACUUUAAAAUUAGUGCGAGUUGGGAAAUGUAUUAACUCAACCAUGAUGUACAAACUUGAAACGACUUAAAUAUUUAUUCACCAUCACAUAAAAACAGUAAUUAAAUAUAGAUAACAUGUGUAAAUAAAGGGAGAAUCACCUUUCUAGCAAUAGCUUUAGAGUAAGACC